CCCUUAGAUGUCCUGGGCCGCACGCGCGCUACACUGAGUGUCUGAGAUACGAGUCUGCCUGGUCCGGCAAGGUCUAGGUAAUCGCUAAAAGACACAUCAUGCUUGGGAUAGAUUAUUGCAAAUAUUAAUCUUGAACGAGGAAUUCCUAGUAAGCGCAAGUCAACAGCUUGCGUUGAUUACGUCCCUGCCCUUUGUACACACCGCCCGUCGCUCCUACCGAUUGAAGUUUUCGGUGAGCUGGCAGGAGGAAUUUUUUGAAACUGGUUCGCUAGUGGAUUUUAGUUCCAAAUGCCAACGAAUCGAUGGCUUUAGAGGAAGGAGAAGUCGUAACA
rnacentral:rRNA from 1 species